ACUAUUUUGGCAGAAAAUGUGAUAAAUUUAGAAUUUAUUUAUGUAAUUUAUAUUACAAAUAGUA
rnacentral:tRNA from 4 species